rnacentral:lncRNA from 1 species
UGCAGCAUGAUUUUUCAGGGGGACCAGAAGCAGCCCCGGGCACAGCGGUCACCCCGGUGGAGUCAGCGGCACCAUGAGAGGCGCUACCCAGGAACAGCUCUGUGCACCUUGACUGCUCACCGGCCAAGCCCAAGUCCCUGAGCCUGCUCCUGACACCCAGUCGGCUUGCUUCCCCGCCUCAUCUUUGACUGCUCUUCCUUUCAGUCACCCCUCAUCUUCCUUCUACUUCUAUGCAGGUCCAAGCAUACUUACUGUGGCUUAUUUUGUUCCCUCUGCCUGAAAGAGGUCUCUUCACCUGUCAAACUCCCGGGUACCCUUCAGACUGAGAUGAUUGUCCCCUUGAAUGUGAAUUUCCCUGAGGCAAAACUCACCGGUUCUGCUGCUGCGUCUGUGUUCCUUCAACCCAUUCUCCACACAGGGCCAGAGCCAUCUUAGCUCCAGGCACGUCACCAGUUCACGUCCCAACGAGUUUAGAAUGAGUUCACAUUCUUUGGUGGCCACAUGCCUGCCCUACUGGCUCAUCUCUGACCUCACUCUCACCAUGCUCCUCUUCCUUCUAGCACCAUCGGCCUCCUGGCACUUCCUGGAACUGCCUCAGGUCUUUCCUCUUGCCUCAGGUCCUUUGCACAAAUGAUUCCCUCCUCUCUUUCCCUGGAA